UACGUAGGGGGCAAGCGUUGUCCGGAUUUAUUGGGCGUAAAGAGCGUGUAGGCGGCCAGGUAGGUGGGUUGUGAAAACUGGAGGCUCAACCUUCAGAGGUCGACCCAAACCCCCUGACUAGAGUCCGGAAGAGGAGAGUGGAAUUCCUGGUGUAGCGGUGAAAUGCGCAGAUAUCAGGAAGAACACCCGUGGCGAAGGCGGCUCUCUGGGACGGUACUGACGCUGAGACGCGAAAGCGUGGGGAGCGAACAGG
rnacentral:rRNA from 1 species